rnacentral:rRNA from 1 species
AUUGAACGCUGGCGGCAUGCCUUACACAUGCAAGUCGAACGGUAACGGGCCUUCGGGUGCCGACGAGUGGCGAACGGGUGAGUAAUGCAUCGGAACGUACCUUUCAGUGGGGGAUAACGUAGCGAAAGUUACGCUAAUACCGCAUAUUCUGUGAGCAGGAAAGCAGGGGAUCGCAAGACCUUGUGCUGAUUGAGCGGCCGAUGUCAGAUUAGCUAGUUGGUGAGGUAAAGGCUCACCAAGGCGACGAUCUGUAGCGGGUCUGAGAGGAUGAUCCGCCACACUGGAACUGAGACACGGUCCAGACUCCUACGGGAGGCAGCAGUGGGGAAUUUUGGACAAUGGGGGGCAACCCGUGAGUCCAGCCAUGCCGCGUGA